rnacentral:rRNA from 1 species
AGAGUUUGAUCCUGGCUCAGAUUGGACGCUGGCGGCAUGCCUAGCACAUGCAAGUCGAACGAGUAUUACUAGCUUGCUAGUAUGAUUAGUGGCGGACGGGUGAGUAAUAUAUAGGGAUCUGCGUGUUAGUGGGGGACAACAGCCGGAGACGGCUGCUAAUACCGCAUACACUCUACGGACGAAGAUUGGGGGACCCUCAGGCCUCACGCUAACAGAUGAACCUAUAUCAGAUUAGCUCGAUCGUGGGGUUAAGGCCUACCAUGGCGACAUCUGUUACUGGUUUGAUAGAAUGAUCACCACGGUGGGGACUGAGAUCCGGCCACACUCCUUACGGGAGGCAGCAGUUGGGGAAUAUUUGGACAUGGGCGCAAGCCUGAUCCUAGCAAUGCCGCGUGUGUGAAGAAGGCCUUCGGGUUGUAAAGCACUUUAAGUUGGGAGGAAAAGCUUGGGGUUAAUAGCCUUAAGUGUUGACAUUACCAACAGAAUAAGCACCGGCUAACUCCGUGCCAACAGCCGCGGUAAUACAGAGGGUGCAAGCGUUAAGCGGAAUUACUGGGCGUAAAGCGCGCGUAGGCGGUUUGUUAAGUCAGAUGUGAAGUCCCCGGCUCACCUGGGAAUGGCAUUUGAGACUGGCAGGCUAAAUUAUGGUAGAAGUCAUUGGAAUUUCAGGUGUACCGGUGAAAUGCGUAAGAUCUGAAAGAACAUCCGUGGCGAAGGCGAUCACUAGGACAUUACUGACCCCAAGUUCCAAACGUUGGUUAC